UACGGGGGGGGUAAGCGUUGUUCGGAAUUACUGGGCGGAAAGGGCUCGUAGGCGGCCAACUAAGUCAGACGUGAAAUCCCUCAGCUUAACUGGGGAACUGCGUCUGAUACUGGAUGGCUUGGAUUCGGGAGAGGAAUGCGGAAUUCCAGGUGUAGCGGUGAAAUGCGUAGAGAUGUGGAGGAACACCAAUGGCGAAGGCAGCCUUCUGGGCCAACACUGACGCUCAUGCACGAAAGCGUGGGGAGCAAACAGG
rnacentral:rRNA from 1 species